rnacentral:rRNA from 1 species
AUUGAACGCUGGCGGCAGGCCUAACACAUGCAAGUCGAGCGAGCGGCGGACGGGUGAGUAAUGUCUGGGAAACUGCCUGAUGGAGGGGGAUAACUACUGGAAACGGUAGCUAAUACCGCAUACCAUCAGAUGUGCCAAGAUGGGAUGAGCUAGUAGGGGGGGUAACGGCUCACGUAGGCGACGAGCCCUAGCUGGUCUGAGAGUAUGACCAGCCAAACUGGAAGUGAGACACGGUCCAGACUCCGUCGGGAGGCAGCGGGGGGGAAUAUUGCACAAUGGGCGCAAGCCUGAUGCAGCCAUGCCGCGUGUGUUAAGAAGGCCUUCGGGUUGUAAAGCACUUUCAGCGGGGAGGCGUUACCCGCAGAAGAAGCACCGGCGAACGCCGUGCCAGCAGCCGCGGUAAUUC